AACGAACGCUGGCGGCAGGCUUAACACAUGCAAGUCGAGCGCCCCGCAAGGGGAGCGGCAGACGGGUGAGUAACGCGUGGGAAUCUACCCAUCUCUACGGAACAACUCCGGGAAACUGGA
rnacentral:rRNA from 1 species